rnacentral:rRNA from 1 species
AUUGAACGCUGGCGGCAUGCCUUACACAUGCAAGUCGAACGGUAACAGGUUAAGCUGACGAGUGGCGAACGGGUGAGUAAUAUAUCGGAACGUGCCCCGUCGUGGGGGAUAACUGCUCGAAAGAGCAGCUAAUACCGCAUACGACCUGAGGGUGAAAGCGGGGGAUCGCAAGACCUCGCGCGAUUGGAGCGGCCGAUAUCAGAUUAGGUAGUUGGUGGGGUAAAGGCCCACCAAGCCAACGAUCUGUAGCUGGUCUGAGAGGACGACCAGCCACACUGGGACUGAGACACGGCCCAGACUCCUACGGGAGGCAGCAGUGGGGAAUUUUGGACAAUGGGCGCAAGCCUGAUCCAGCCAUGCCGCGUGCGGGAAGAAGGCCUUCGGGUUGUAAACCGCUUUUGUCAGGGAAGAAAAGGUUCUGGUUAAUACCUGGGACUCAUGACGGUACCUGAAGAAUAAGCACCGGCUAACUACGUGCCAGCAGCCGCAGUAA